rnacentral:rRNA from 1 species
GAGUUCAUAGAGUACGUGAAACUGUGUGGUGGUAAACGGAGGGGUUCUCGAAGUUUCCGUGGGGAACUCAGCCUUGGUGACGUGCGGUGGCGUCUUGUCCGAUCAGCAAUGACGGCUGGGCGUUUAUCGGCGUGUCUCUCGGGUGCAUUUCCCCCGCGGUUUACGACAGGAACCGUUCGGAGCGCACCGAAGGCGUCGGGUGAAGUUGUCGGUUCUGCUGGCAGCCCCGGCUGUCCUGGCUGCGCGCCGGACGGGUACGUGAGAGGACUCGUAUAGCGAGCAAUGCUCUGUUGCGGUUCUCAUCUCUCUGUCGAGUAGGUCGGCGGCCCCUCCGACCCGUCUUGAAACACGGAC